CGAGGCCGUAGCGCAGAGGUCGACGCACCCGCCUCUCAAGCGGGGGGACGCCGGUUCGAUUCCGGUCGGUCUCGCCC
rnacentral:tRNA from 1 species